UGAACGGCGGCAACAAUGAAACACAACAAUGGAGUUGUCAUGAUUUUUUUUGAAGUGAAGUAUUGUUUUAUUCAAAAUGGAAGACUUGAAGCGCUGGGGGACCAUAGCGAUGCCGUCUAUGGCAUGAAAAUGAAAUGAAAUCGUGAUCGAGAUAUUGACACAACACCACAUUCAAAACAACAGAGCGGAAGAGAGAAGAAGAAUAGAAUAGAAGAGAGAGAGAGACACGGGACGUCACCCACAGAGGUUUUGGGGGGGUGAUAAGACCUCGGCUAAAUGGCGUCCGACUUAUCCCACCUCGCAUUCUUAUCUACAGCUCGAGAGCAGAGACGGUGUUUGUGUGUGUGUGUCGGUGAGAGUGCGUGGGAAGUGUGUCUGUUUACAGUUAGAAGCCCUGUACCUCCAAUACAUGUUGAACGUUUGCUUGAAUAUUAUCUAAAUCAACACAACAGAAUAAUGUUGAAGGCAGAAAAAGAAAAGCCCUCUUCGGGGGCGUGAAGAAAGCUUGGCCUGCCGAGAAGAGCCAAACGCACAACAACCACCACAAAAAGAGAGGUGUGAAAUGGUGGAGCGGCCUCAAAGUGACCCGGACUCUUUAAAACGACAAAGCUUUCAUACGGAACCAGCGACAGCGGCUCAAACAGCCGGAUAACAGACAGCAGCUGGAGACGUUUCUCACCAGCCGGGGAAACAAAACGGAGAAAUACCCGCCAUGAACAGCCUUGUUGUGAAGAAAGUUCACCUCAGUGCCACCGAUCACUUUAAAGCGAGUCCCCUCGAUGUACCCACCAGGUACCAUAAACUUUUAUUCUUUCUACUGGCCAUCCGGGGAGCCUCCUGUGGCUGUUAAAGUGGGUCAGUGGGAUGGAAGUCUAUGAAAAAGAACAUUCCCUUCUCCUUUGUGUGGUUUUAUCGUCUCGAUAUAUCGUGGUAUUCAUUUCCUAAAUGAUGUCCCGUUUACAGUCAAAUAGACUUUAAAGCAGAUUAGGCUUCAGGCCAUGACUGGUUUGCAUUUGACGGGUCCAUACUGCACUAAAUAUCGUCCCCUCAAACCUCUCAAACUGUGUUUUCCAUCCAUGACAGUUCGUCAAGAUGUAAGAUGGCGGAGGCCAAAAUACCGAAAACAAUGCUCAAAAACGUAAAUGAAUGUCCAAAUGUUUUUGUGUGUGGGAGUUUCAACCUGAGGCGCAAUCAUUAAUUAUCAUAGUGCUGCUUAGCUUCAUGAAAAGGUCACCGUCUCACUCAAGGGGAUUAUUCUCAAAAGAUUACCUCACAGUACUUAAAAGACUUCUGACCGGAAAGUAAUUCAGAAAUUAACUGGUGGUUCUUUUUGACCCAUAGAAUCACUGGGAUGACCAAUAGACUGUUUGGGGCGGAACAAACUUUAUGAGGAUCAGGAUUCAGUAGAGAGCCCGAGUUGGUCCCUCUAACACUAUUGAUUUGUGUGCUGUGACAUUUGAGGCCCCCUGACGUUACACGCAUUGUUUAAACCCGCCCACUGCUUUCUCCAUCACAGAGAGAAACGCAGACGUCUCAAGGUUGCUCUUGCCAAGAAGAUUAUGACAAUAGAUGCUACCUCGGGAUAAACUGCUGUAUCCUGAAAUCUUCAUUCUAGCUCGGUGAAGGCUGCAGACCACUCAAGUUAUUUUAUGUCUAGUAAUGAUCACGGUUGGAUUAACUGCACUUGGCACCGCCGCUGGCAAUCUGCAAAAAUGUACAAGUUCAAGGAGGAAAGUGCAGGAGCGAAAAUGUGUCUCGUUUAAACAUUCAAGACCCCAAUAGAAUGCUAAAGACAUAUGUGAUAUAUAGCAGGAAUGUAGAUAGAGUGCAGCAAUAUUUAUCUGACCUGAGAUAUGAAGCCUCUCUCCCUCUGUGUGUGUUGUAAUCUGAGCACCUGCUUUGUUUACUUACCACGUCUCACUCGGCCUGCCCAUAUGAGCCUAAAUCAGCACCCAUGUGAGCCUAAAUCAGCACCCAGGUGAGCUUAUAAAUCAGCACCCAUAUGAGCCUAAAUCAGCACCCAGGUGAGCUUAAAUCAGCACCCAUAUGAACCUAAAUCAGCACCCAGGUGAGCUUAUAAAUCAGCACCCAUAUGAGCCUAAAUCAGCACCCAUAUGAGCCUAAAUCAGCACCCAGGUGAGCUUUUAAAUCAACACCCAUAUGAGCCUAAAUCAGCACCCAUAUGAGCCUAAAUCAGCACCCAGGUGAGCUUAUAAAUCAGCACCCAUAUGAGCCUAAAUCAGCACCCAGGUGAGCUUAAAUCAGCACCCAUAUGAACCUAAAUCAGCACCCAGGUGAGCUUAAAUCAGCACCCAUAUGAACCUAAAUCAACACCCAGGUGAGUUUAAAUGUUGUUUGAUGCGGUUUAAACUGCUAGUUAGGAUCCUUUACUUACUUUACUAUCUGUGGUAUCAGCGCGCCUGGUAAGUGCAGUAAAAACAUUCAUGGAGGGUUAAAAUUCAACGCUUGAAAAUGUCUCUCAGAAAGGAAUCAGGAAUUAAAUCCAGUAUACAGAAGAAUCCCUUGACAUGCAAUGCGAAGUUGGUUCAGGGGCACCAGACUCCAUUGCGAAAUGUUUCGUCUUCUGUUUUGUCUAUUUUUUGUCAAACUCCAGUUGAAGGACCGAAUUCUUUGACCCUCCAGCUUUCAAAACCCAGCGGAUCAACACAAAAAAUAGAUGUUCGGUUAAGAACCAGCCUACUUGUUGCCGUUUCAAGCAGAGUCGUCCUCAAUGCGCAAAUGCAGACCGCGGGCUGUUGUUCACUGGACAGCAGCGGACUUAGCGGGCGGGCAGGUGAGGUCAAAAGACUCUUUACUCAGAAGCCCUUCGGUGUUUCAUGCAGCUGCAGAAUUCUCGAGCUGGUCACAAAAACAAAUCAGUGCGCACUGAAUGUCAGCGACAGAGGGGCUGCGAUGAGCUGCAGAAACGACGGACGAGCAGAGAUCACCAACCAGGCGGACGUAGGUAACACUAACUUGCUACCAAGCAAUUUUUUACGCCCCAGUCUAGGGGUGCCUAAGGUGCAACAUGAAUAGGCCCCAAUCUUCCCCGUC
ensembl:lncRNA